CACACAAAGUAAACUGGACGCUUUAGUUACGAAGUGACAGACAUCGGAUAAUAAAAUGUACGAGGGGAAUGAUGACGAAGACAAGAUUCUCCAGAUCGUUGACUCUUGCUGUCCUGUGAACAGCAUCGGCGUGGGGACGUUUAUUUGUUUGGCGUUUUCUCGGUCGCCUCGUGCUUGAGAAUAUCACCAGGUGACUGCAGGUUUUAAAGAACAUGGAAAGAUGCUGGAGGAAAACAUUAUCACGUUUGUGAAGAACGAGCUAAAGAAGCUGCAGAAUGAUCUGAAUCCAGAUUAUUCAGAGUGUCAGAGGGAUGAAGAGGAGGUGUUGGACAGUGAGGAAGAGAAGCAGAGAAGGAGCAGCAGAGAGGCAUUUCUGAAACUUGCAGUUAACUUCCUGAGAAUAAUGAAACAGGAGCAGCUGGCUGACUGUCUGCAGAGCAAAAAUCCUGAUCCAGGUUGUGAGAACACAUUUAAAUGUAACCUAAAGAAGAAGUUCCAGUGUGUGUUUGAGGGGAUCGCUAAACCAGGAACCCAAAUCACUCUAAAUGAGAUCUACACAGAGCUCUGCAUCACAGAGGGAGGGACCGGAGAGGUCAACACUGAACAUGAGGUCAGACAGAUUGAAAAGUUUUCCUGGAAACCAAACAGACCAGAAACAAGAAUCAGGUGUGAAGACAUCUUUAAAGCUUCGACUGAAAGAGACAAACCAAUCAGAACAGUCCUGACCAAAGGAGUGGCUGGCAUCGGGAAAACACUCCUGACACAAAAGUUCACUUUGGACUGGGCUGAAGACAAGACCAACCAGGACAUCCAGUUCAUGUUUCCAUUUCCAUUCAGAGAGCUGAAUUUACUGAAGGAUAAAAAGUUCAGCUUAGUGGGAUUUAUUCAUCACUUCUUUACUGAAAUCAAAGAAGCAGGAAUCUGUAACUUUAAAAAGUUCAAAGUUGUGUUCAUCUUUGAUGGUCUGGAUGAGUGUCGACUUCCUCUGAACUUCCACAUCACUGAGAUCCUCACUGAUGUUACAGAGUCCACAUCAGUGGAUGUGCUGCUGACAAACCUCAUCAGGGGAAAGUUGCUUCCUUCUGCUCGCAUCUGGAUAACCACACGACCUGCAGCAGCCAAUCAGAUCCCUGCUGAGUAUAUAGACAUGGUUACAGAGGUCAGAGGGUUCACUGACCCACAGAAGGAAGAGUACUUCAGGAAGAGACUCAGAGACAAGGAAGAGGCCAACACCAUAAUCUCUCACAUCAAGACAUCACAAAGCCUCCACAUCAUGUGUCACAUCCCAAUCUUCUGCUGGAUCACUGCUACAGUUUUAGAGAGUUUGUUAAAAACCAAACAGGAUGGAGGAAAGCUGCCCAAGACACUGACUGAGAUGUACAUUCACUUCCUGGUGGUUCAGACCAAACUGAAGAACAUCAACUAUGAUGGAGGAGCUGAGACAGAUCCCCUCUGGAGUCCAGAGAGUAAGAAGAUGAUUGAAGCAGUGGGGAAACUGGCGUUUGAGCAGCUGCAGAAAGGAAACCUGAUCUUCUAUGAAUCAGACCUGACAGAGUGUGGCAUUAAUGUCAGAGAGGCCUCAGUGUACUCAGGAGUGUUCACACAGGUCUUUAAAGAAGAGAGAGGACUGUACCAAGAAAAGGUGUUCUGUUUUGUCCAUCUGAGUGUUCAGGAGUUUCUGGCAGCUCUACAUGUCCACCUGACCUUCAUCAACUCUGGUAUCAACCUGCUGGAAGAAGAAGAAACAGCCUCAGUGCAGACUGGAGUAUAUUCAGUUAGACAGUUCUACCAGAGUGCUGUGGACAAGGCUUUAAAGAGUCCAAAUGGACACUUGGACUUGUUUCUUCGCUUCCUCCUGGGUCUUUCAUUGCAGACCAAUCAGACUCUUUUACAAGGCCUGUUGAUACCAAAAAGAAACAUCUCACAGACCAAUCAUGAAACAGUUCAGUACAUAAAAAAUAAACUGAAUGAGAAUCUCUCUCCUGAAAAAAGCAUCAAUCUGUUCCACUGUCUGAAUGAACUGAAUGAUGACUCUCUAGUGAAGGAGAUCCAAAGUCAUCUGAGUUCAGGAAGCCUGUCCAUAGUUGAUCUUUCUCCUUCCCAGUGGUCAGCUCUGGUCUUUGUCCUACUGAUAUCAGAAGAACAGCUGGAUGUGUUUGAUCUGAAGGAAUACUCAGCUUCAGAGGAGGCUUUUUUGAGACUGCUGCCAGUGGUCAAAGCCUCGAAGAAAGUUCUGCUUAGCGGAUGUAACCUCACAAAGAAAAGCUGUGAAGCUCUGUCAUCAGUUCUCAGAUCCCAGUCCUCUAGACUGAGAGAGCUGGACAUGAGUAACAACAACAUUCAGGACUCAGGAGUGGAGUUGUUGUGUGUUGGCCUUGAAAGUCCACACUGCACACUUCAAACCCUCAGGCUUUCAGGCUGUCUGAUCACAGAGAAAGGCUGUGCUUUCCUCAGUUCAGCUCUGAGCUCUAACCCCUCCCAUCUGACACAGCUGGACCUGAGCUACAAUCAUCUAGGGGGCUCAGGAAUGAAGCUGUUGUUGACUCGACUGCAGGAUCCACAGUGGAAACUGGAAACCCUCAGGAUGGAGCCUUGUGGAGUACAAUGGCUGAAACCAGGUUUAAGGAAAUAUUUCUGUGAACUAAACCUGGAUCUAAACACAAUACACAGAAAACUCAAACUGUCUGCCAACAACAGGAAGGUGGUGCAUGUAGAAGAGGACCAGCAGUAUGUUGAUAAUGAUGACAGAUUUGAUCAUUGGCCUCAGCUGCUGUGUACCAACACUCUGACGGGUCGCUGUUACUGGGAGGUUGAGUGGAGUGGAGAGGUUCAUAUUGCAGUGGCUUACAAAGGAAUCAAACGGAAAGGAAACGGUGAUGACAGCAGGUUUGGCAAAACUGAUCAGUCCUGGUCUUUGUACUGUGAUGAGGGCGAAUACUUUGCAACUCACAAUUACAAAUCAAGAGCCAUCCCUGUCUCCUCCUCUGCCUGUCACAAAGUAGCAGUGUAUGUGGACUGUCCUAUGGGCACCGUGUCCUUCUAUAACAUAAUCUCUGGCACACUGGUCCACCUCCACACCUUCAACACCACAUUCACUGAACCUGUAUACCCUGGGUUUAGAGUUAGGUUACGUGACUCUCAUAUCUACAUCUGUGCUGACUCAGAAAACUGAACCUGAGCUCAUAAAGUAGCAAUAUAGCAAAGUUACUGAGCUACAGUAACAUAACUGUCAUCCAUUUAUUAUAAAAUACACAACAUUAUACAUUUGAAUAUGGUAAAUGUUUCAAAUGUGAUUGGAAUUACACCAACAGUCCACCAAAAGUCCUAGUGCCACCUUCUUAACUUCUAGAUCAUGCAGUAGUAGUGGAAAUAGAAAACUGAGGAAAGAAUAAAAAAGCAGGCGAAACGUUUGAUUAAGUGAACUGGUGGUUGUAAUAUGUUUGCAAUUCAAGUGCAUGGUUCUGAGGCUUUUGGAUAGGAAUCCUGUAGCACCACCAUCUGGCCAAAAGUUACUGGAAAGCGUCAGAGAGAGCAGGAGUAGUUCAAAGUUCAGACUGGAUUCUGGUCAGCUGAGAUCUUUACCUGUGCCUGUAUAAUCUGCUUUCAUGUAUGAUAGAAAGAUAUAAAUGAAGAAUGAAAACUUUCCUCAGUGCACAGUUGUUUUUGCAAAUGUUGUAAAGCACCUGUAUUGAAAUUUGUCAUACACUAAUAAGCAUCUAAACUUCUAGGUGCUCGAUGAUGAUGAUGAUGAUGAUAAAUAAAAAAGCUUCAGUCAAUGGCCAUGGCAAUAGAACAGCAUACUUAAUAUGCUUAGAAGGACUUAUGAAAAGAGAAACAUGUCCAGAGAAUCAAGCUGCAAGAGUCUUUCUGAGGUUCCUGUUCAAAAACCACAUGCCCAAAAUAUAUGAGAGAGUAUUCCCUUAUUUCUCUCUAUUAUAUAAAUGUAAGUAACAGAGGCUGGAACAUAGAGGGAAGUAGUUUUUUUUUCUUACCUAAUUUAUUUUUGCAUUUUAUUGCAUAUAACCCUUUUCCAAAUAUGCUUCAAUAGACAGUAAACACCAGGGAAGGAGUGCAUUCAUUGUGAUUUUUUGACUCCUGUUAGUGGAAAAGUCCAGAAUCCUGACAGAUACCUGAAAACUCUCAACAUCCUCUGUGAGCUGUUUAUCAGUAAUAAAAGCUCAGUCCUGUAUCAUGGACCUGAGGUACCUCAGAAAAUACAGACUACUUGGGCCCUUUUUGAAGAGAACUUCUGUGUUUUUAAUGGAGUGACCUUUGUAAGAGUGACGACGGGACAAGACUCAGCAGUUCAUCUGCAUCUAAAGGACAAAGGUCACUCUUUCGAGGAUGCCAGCAGGUAACCAGACAGCAGCUCAUCUUUGUAUCCUUCACACUCAACACACAUUCAGAGUUCAUGUGAGACGCUGCUCAGGACAGUGUCAGUGUGUUUGAGAGGACACUCACUCACCACAGGAUCUGAAGCAGGUUCCUGCUUUUAAAAACUACAUUUCUAAAACCGAAACAUAUUUUUACAUUUACAGUUAAUUUACAGUUAAAACCGUUUCCGUCAGGAGGCAAAGCAUUACUUAAUGUAUAUGAAACCACAGAUACAUCAGAGCUUAUAACACAUCAUUAUCAUCAUCAUCAUAACAUCAACCUGAGGACGUCAUAAUAAGCUUCUGUUCAACAGAGAGCGAUAAUUACAAUAAACGCUCUGUGAGGUCAAAGUUCACAUUUUGUUUUAUUCCCUUAAAAUAAUCACAGUUUAUAUUCAUCGUGUUAUUAUUGACACUUUGAUCAAGAUUCGUUCAAAAUAAUGUAAACACCAUGAUCAGUUUCCUCCAUUAAGUUUAUGAUUAUUAUUCUCUGUCAUCAUGUUGUUGAACUAAACUCCAACAGCCUCGUUUACAUUGUUGAUCAAACACUGAUCUGAUGAGCUGGAAGUUGAUCAGUAUUCAUCACUGGACUGAACGUGGAUCCUGUUUUCUAUUCAGACAGUACGUGGAUGAAAGGUAUUCGUGUACUUCAUGUACUUUAAGUCUUUCAAGCUGCAGAAGUGUUUUUCUGACACACGGUGGCGCCAUGUUUUAUGUUUUGAUGAAGAAAAGGGAAACUUCUCACGUUUCCUCCACAGUCAGUGCAGAAAAACCGGAGUCGUCAGUUUAUUGUGCUGUUUGAGCCAAAUGGAUUUUAAAGACUGAGAGUGUGAAAGAAACAGCAGCACAGAAAAGAAAAAUAGAUUUAGAAAAAGACAUGAAAAUAAGAUCAGUGUGUAUAACACUAAAGUAGAAACACACAGCAGUUAGCAGGCUCAGUGAGCAGCUGGACUCUCAUUUUCACACAGACAUUUUCAAGGUGCUGAGUGGAAAAGUCACAGGUGCACGGCAGCUCGAUACCUGCUGCAAGUGGGGACUGGUAAGCUGUGCACGCGGAUUAUAUUUUUUCUGGGAAACGGCUCCGCAUCGUGGCUGUUGCGCCGAACAGUGAUCGUCUGCAGCACACGGAUCAUAUGAAGUUUGUUAGUUGGUAGGUGUGAGCGAGUGCAGCUUUGGUGUCUAGUUAUGCUCAAGGAAAUACACAGAGAUCUGCGCAGUUGGUGCACGUUUCCCCUCAAAGAAACCCAGACGUCUCACCCUGGAAAACAUAAACGAUCGAUCCGAAGUUAGUCCACCGAUCUCCCCGAGCUUUAUACACGAGCGAGUGGCACCAAGAGACCAGUCUCUAUGCGACCAAAGUGAUGACGUCAGGCAGAGAAACAGUGAAAGCGUGGUUCUGUCUUUUUACUCAGAUCCUAUUUUCUGUUUUUAUACACUUUUUCCUGGAUUUGAUUCUAUCUUCUUCUUUUUCUUUCUUUUUUUUUUUUUUGAGUACAGCACCAGGACUUUGGGUUUGGGUGGUGCUCUCAUUGACCUGCUGAUUGUAAAGAUGAAUCUCAGAUGGAUGAGAAGGUCAGCAUUAAAUAUCGGCAGCAGUGACUCAUACUCAGUCACUGCCCCACACAACUGCAGCGGGACGGAGUCAUCGUGCACUUCAG